UACGAAGGGGGCUAGCGUUGCUCGGAAUCACUGGGCGUAAAGGGUGCGUAGGCGGGUCUUUUAAGUCAGGGGUGAAAUCCUGGAGCUCAACUCCAGAACUGCCUUUGAUACUGGCGGUCUCGAGUCCGGGAGAGGUGAGUGGAACUGCGAGUGUAGAGGUGAAAUUCGUAGAUAUUCGCAAGAACACCAGUGGCGAAGGCGGCUCACUGGCCCGGUACUGACGCUGAGGUGCGAAAGCGUGGGGAGCAA
rnacentral:rRNA from 1 species